rnacentral:rRNA from 1 species
AACGAACGCUGGCGGCAUGCCUAACACAUGCAAGUCGAACGAGACCUUCGGGUCUAGUGGCGCACGGGUGCGUAACGCGUGGGAACCUGCCCUUAGGUUCGGAAUAACUCCCCGAAAGGGGUGCUAAUACCGGAUAAUGUCUUCGGACCAAAGAUUUAUCGCGUUUGGAUGGGCCCGCGUUGGAUUAGCUAGUUGGUAGGGUAAAAGCCUACCACGGCGACGAUCCAUAGCUGGUCUGAGAGGAUGAUCAGCCACACUGGGACUGAGACACGGCCCAGACUCCUACGGGAGGCAGCAGUGGGGAAUAUUGGACAAUGGGCUAAAGCCUGAUCCAGCAAGGCCGCGUGAGUGAUGAAGGCCUUAGGGUUGUAAAGCUCUUUUACCCGGGAUGAUAAUGACAGUACCGGGAGAAUAAGCUCCGGCUAACUCCGUG